rnacentral:misc_RNA from 1 species
UGCAUCAAACCAGGUUUGAUUUCUUAUCUUCUGAGUACAAAAGAUAGUUCCAAGUUGGAUUCCUGGGGAGAAAGGUGUCAGAAAUGUAAGAACAGGAGGGAAUAACGGACAAGGAAUGGGCGUUGGCGUGAUUGAAAGCGGCGACGCAGAGAUGAGAAGCCAAUCCCAAACCCCUUUUGGAAGAAGGAACGAAAGUGUGAA